rnacentral:rRNA from 1 species
ACCCUAUGGACCUGGACAACCUCGGGAAACUGAGGCUAAUCCGAGAUACAGUUCGCAGCCUGGAAUGGCGCGAACUCGAAACGUUACGGCGCCAUAGGAUGUGGCUGCGGCCGAUUAGGUAGACGGUGGGGUAACGGCCCACCGUGCCGAUAAUCGGUACGGGUUGUGAGAGCAAGAGCCCGGAGACGGAAUCUGAGACAAGAUUCCGGGCCCUACGGGGCGCAGCAGGCGCGAAACCUUUACACUGCACGAGAGUGCGAUAAGGGGACUCCGAGUGCGAGGGCAUAUAGUCCUCGCUUUUCACCACCGUAAGGAGGUGGUGGAAUAAGUGCUGGGCAAGACCGGUGCCAGCCGCCGCGGUAAUACCGGCAGCACAAGUGAUGACCGCUAUUAUUGGGCCUAAAGCGUCCGUAGCUACUUUCC